UGAGUAGGGCGGGACACGUGGUAUCCUGUCUGAAUAUGGGGGGACCAUCCUCCAAGGCUAAAUACUCCUGACUGACCGAUAGUGAACCAGUACCGUGAGGGAAAGGCGAAAAGAACCCCGGCGAGGGGAGUGAAAAAGAACCUGAAACCGUGUACGUACAAGCAGUGGGAGCACAGAGCAAUCUGUGUGACUGCGUACCUUUUGUAUAAUGGGUCAGCGACUUAUAUUCUGUAGCAAGGUUAACCGAAUAGGGGAGCCGAAGGGAAACCGAGUCUUAACUGGGCGUUAAGUUGCAGGGUAUAGACCCGAAACCCGGUGAUCUAGCCAUGGGCAGGUUGAAGGUUGGGUAACACUAACUGGAGGACCGAACCGACUAAUGUUGAAAAAUUAGCGGAUGACUUGUGGCUGGGGGUGAAAGGCCAAUCAAACCGGGAGAUAGCUGGUUCUCCCCGAAAGCUAUUUAGGUAGCGCCUCGUGAAUUCAUCUCCGGGGGUAGAGCACUGUUUCGGCAAGGGGGUCAUCCCGACUUACCAACCCGAUGCAAACUGCGAAUACCGGAGAAUGUUAUCACGGGAGACACACGGCGGGUGCUAACGUCCGUCGUGAAGAGGGAAACAACCCAGACCGCCAGCUAAGGUCCCAAAGUCAUGGUUAAGUGGGAAACGAUGUGGGAAGGCCCAGACAGCCAGGAUGUUGGCUUAGAAGCAGCCAUCAUUUAAAGAAAGCGUAAUAGCUCACUGGUCGAGUCGGCCUGCGCGGAAGAUGUAACGGGGCUAAACCAUGCACCGAAGCUGCGGCAGCGACGCUGAUGCGUUGUUGGGUAGGGGAGCGUUCUGUAAGCCUGCGAAGGUGUGCUGUGAGGCAUGCUGGAGGUAUCAGAAGUGCGAAUGCUGACAUAAGUAACGAUAAAGCGGGUGAAAAGCCCGCUCGCCGGAAGACCAAGGGUUCCUGUCCAACGUUAAUCGGGGCAGGGUGAGUCGACCCCUAAGGCGAGGCCGAAAGGCGUAGUCGAUGGGAAACAGGUUAAUAUUCCUGUACUUGGUGUUACUGCGAAGGGGGGACGGAGAAGGCUAUGUUGGCCGGGCGACGGUUGUCCCGGUUUAAGCGUGUAGGCUGGUUUUCCAGGCAAAUCCGGAAAAUCAAGGCUGAGGCGUGAUGACGAGGCACUGCGGUGCUGAAGCAACAAAUGCCCUGCUUCCAGGAAAAGCCUCUAAGCAUCAGGUAACAUCAAAUCGUACCCCAAACCGACACAGGUGGUCAGGUAGAGAAUACCAAGGCGCUUGAGAGAACUCGGGUGAAGGAACUAGGCAAAAUGGUGCCGUAACUUCGGGAGAAGGCACGCUGAUAUGUAGGUGAAGUCCCUCGCGGAUGGAGCUGAAAUCAGUCGAAGAUACCAGCUGGCUGCAACUGUUUAUUAAAAACACAGCACUGUGCAAACACGAAAGUGGACGUAUACGGUGUGACGCCUGCCCGGUGCCGGAAGGUUAAUUGAUGGGGUUAGCGCAAGCGAAGCUCUUGAUCGAAGCCCCGGUAAACGGCGGCCGUAACUAUAACGGUCCUAAGGUAGCGAAAUUCCUUGUCGGGUAAGUUCCGACCUGCACGAAUGGCGUAAUGAUGGCCAGGCUGUCUCCACCCGAGACUCAGUGAAAUUGAACUCGCUGUGAAGAUGCAGUGUACCCGCGGCAAGACGGAAAGACCCCGUGAACCUUUACUAUAGCUUGACACUGAACAUUGAGCCUUGAUGUGUAGGAUAGGUGGGAGGCUU
rnacentral:rRNA from 1 species